GAUGAACGCUGGCGGCGUGCCUAAUACAUGCAAGUCGAGCGAACAGACGAGGAGCUUGCUCCUCUGACGUUAGCGGCGGACGGGUGAGUAACACGUGGAUAACCUACCUAUAAGACUGGGAUAACUUCGGGAAACCGGAGCUAAUACCGGAUAAUAUAUUGAACCGCAUGGUUCAAUAGUGAAAGACGGUUUUGCUGUCACUUAUAGAUGGAUCCGCGCCGCAUUAGCUAGUUGGUAAGGUAACGGCUUACCAAGGCAACGAUGCGUAGCCGACCUGAGAGGGUGAUCGGCCACACUGGAACUGAGACACGGUCCAGACUCCUACGGGAGGCAGCAGUAGGGAAUCUUCCGCAAUGGGCGAAAGCCUGACGGAGCAACGCCGCGUGAGUGAUGAAGGUCUGCGGAUCGUAAAACUCUGUUAUUAGGGAAGAACAAAUGUGUAAGUAACUAUGCACGUCUAGACGGUACCUAAUCAGAAAGCCACGGCUAACUACGUG
rnacentral:rRNA from 1 species